ACGGGUGAGUAACGCGUGGGAAUCUACCGUACCCUACGGAAUAGCUCCGGGAAACUGGAAGUAAUACCGUAUACGCCCUUUUGGGGAAAGAUUUAUCGGGGUAUGAUGAGCCCGCGUUGGAUUAGCUAGUUGGUGGGGUAAAGGCCUACCAAGGCGACGAUCCAUAGCUGGUCUGAGAGGAUGAUCAGCCACAUUGGGACUGAGACACGGCCCAAACUCCUACGGGAGGCAGCAGUGGGGAAUAUUGGACAAUGGGGGCAACCCUGAUCCAGCCAUGCCGCGUGAGUGAUGAAGGUCUUAGGAUUGUAAAGCUCUUUCACCGAUGAAGAUAAUGACGGUAGUCGGAGAAGAAGCCCCGGCAAACUUCGUGCCAGCAGCCGCGGUAAUACGAAGGGGGCUAGCGUUGUUCGGAAUUACUGGGCGUAAAGCGCACGUAGGCGGAUAAUUAAGCCAGGGGUGAAAUCCCGCAGCUCAACUGCGGAACUGCCUUUGAUACUGGUUAUCUUGAGUAUGGAAGAGGUAAGUGGAAUUGCGAGUGUAGAGGUGAAAUUCGUAGA
rnacentral:rRNA from 1 species